rnacentral:misc_RNA from 1 species
ACCCUUGUGGAGGAGGACGCCGAAGGUGGGGCUAAUGACUGGGGUGAAGUCGUAACAAGGUAGCCGUACCGGAAGGUGCGGCUGGAUCACCUCCUAACAGGGAGACAACAAAAUGUUUAAUAUUAUUAUUUUGUCACCUUAGGUCGAUCGGUACCUCACGUUCUUAAUUUAUUAAGAAUUUCAUUUUCUAAGUUUUUCUAGGUCACACCCAUUAUUUUUCCUGGGCCAUUAGCUCAGGUGGUUAGAGCGCACCCCUGAUAAGGGUGAGGUCCCUGGUUCAAGUCCAGGAUGGCCCAUAUCUCUAUGUUGGGGGUAUAGCUCAGUUGGUAGAGCGCCUGCUUUGCAAGCAGGAUGUCAGCGGUUCGAGUCCGCUUACCUCCACUGAUUACCACCUCUUCCAUGAUUUGUAGAAAGGAAAUUUUUUGUGUUGUGAUCAUAAUUCUGAACGAAUCUAGCUUCCUAAUGAACCCAUUAAGAUGCUGGACUCAUUGAAUUAAUUUCAUUGUUUUCAGAGAACCUUGACAACUGCAUAGAUUAUUUUAAAGACAAUAAGCAUCUUUUAUGGUGCAGAUUUAUUAUUUGUGCGAAUGCAUUAAUAACAAUUCUAUUAAGCUGAUGCUUCAAUUUUUGAAGUUAUUGGUCAAGCUACAAAGGGCUCACGGAGGAUACCUAGGCACACAGA